CAAUAUGCUAUACUCAUCUCGUAUAUACUCCCAUUCGUCAGUGCUAAGCAGCAAGUCGAAGCGAAAACAGCUCCCCACAUAAAACACAUCAAACAACACAACGAAUAAAAUUAAACACAAUAUAUAGAAACCGUAUUUCCGCAGACACAACUACGAUGGAGGGCAAAGAGAACCACAACCCCAAUCCCCAGAUACCCAACCGACCUUCGCCCUCCAACGCUGCUCGCCCGUUGGUGAACAACGUCACUGUGCCCAUCUACGAUGCAUCGGCAUCGCAGGCGCACAUGCGCCUGGCCAUCGCGAGUAAUACCGACGUACUACUAGGCGGCGGCAGGCCCUACUCGAGAGCUGCAGCGGCAGCUGCAGCUGCUCCUGAGCGGCGCCCGGUCAACGUGUAUGCCCCCGACUUACCAUCGGCAUACCUGAGGAGGGCGCGCGCAACAUUCCGCGGCCUAUAAUGGCUACAUAUGUAUAUUCUGUAGUUGAUAAUCGUUUUAAUCGUUCAUUGACACACAAACAGAGACUGACACAGUGCCAUCCCAACCAGUGCAAACCACAGCGAACCCAGACGAUCUUCGGCAAUCCACACACACUGGCCCUGGUGCUGUCCGCCCGUUGGUGGGACACCCGACACAUGGCACGCUGACUGACGAGCCUUUAGUUCCUAAUCAUUUGAUGAAUCGUUUUGGUGUGGCGAUCAUAAAUGAUUAAAUGCUAAACUCGCAAUUGGUGCUUCUAUUAUUUGGGAGCUAUAUACAUAUAUAGGAUAUUUUGACAUGAAGGGCAACACACACACACAAAAUAUGGAAACAGAUUAUAUUUUAUGGACAGAUUGGCUGAGAUUUUGAAUUUAAUUUCAUGCGGAGGCCCCCUGUCAUUUAUUUUAUUUAUUUGGCGCUAAAUUCAAACACAGUCGUUAAUUUUAUUUUGCAUACACACAAAAA